ACUCCUACGGGAGGCAGCAGUGGGGAAUAUUGCACAAUGGGCGCAAGCCUGAUGCAGCCAUGCCGCGUGUGUGAAGAAGGCCUUCGGGUUGGUAAAUGCACUUUCAGUCGUGAGGAAGGUAGUGUAGUUAAUAGCUGCAUUAUUUGACGUUAGCGACAGAAGAAGCACCGGCUAACUCCGUGCCCAGNACCGCGGAAUACGGAGGGUGCGAGCCGUUAAUCGGAAUUACUGGGCGUAAAGCGCAUGCAGGUGGUUUGUUAAGUCAGAUGUGAAAGCCCGGGGCUCAACCUCGGAAUUGCAUUUGAAACUGGCAGACUAGAGUACUGUAGAGGGGGGUAGAA
rnacentral:rRNA from 1 species